rnacentral:rRNA from 1 species
AACGAACGCUGGCGGCAGGCCUAACACAUGCAAGUCGAACGCCCCGCAAGGGGAGUGGCGCACGGGUGAGUAACGCGUGGGAACGUGCCUUUUGGUACGGAAUAACAUCGGGAAACUGAUGCUAAUACCGUAUACGCCCUCAGGGGGAAAGAUUUAUCGCCAAAAGAUCGGCCCGCGUUAGAUUAGCUAGUUGGUGGGGUAAUGGCCUACCAAGGCUCCGAUCUAUAGCUGUUCUGAGAGGAAGAUCAGCCACACUGGAACUGAGACACGGUCCAGACU